CUCGGAUUUGCCUUCACCACCCACGUGCAGCCCACAACCGCAGGACCCCGCCCCUGGUCCUCAAUCUCCCAUGUCCUGGUGCCAAGCAGAUUUUCCACACCAACCAGAAGCUCAUAUUCAACCCUACAGCCUACAAGUCAGCCAGGGGCCUUUGGCCACAUGUACUGAUGAUGAGAAUCACUAGACUGUAAGCUGCAAAAGGGCAAGGACGGUGUUUUGUUCCCCGCUACCCCCUGCACCUGAGGCCCAGCGAGGAUUGCUGCUCAGAUGAAGGAGAGUGAGUGUUCGUGGAACUCUUUGCAGAAGCCACGGGAAGCCCUUCCUGCGCCUUCUCAAGUUUAGUUCUCAGACAGCCCCCCUUUCCAGAUGAAGAAACAGAGGCUCAGAAAGGAGAAUAAACUUGUCCAGAAUCGGUG